rnacentral:lncRNA from 1 species
CCCACCUUCCAAGGAGAAGCAGCCCUUGGGGAAAGGGAGGCAGAGAGAGCUUUGCUGGGAAUGGCGGCAGGGCUGGGGAGGGGGAACAUUCGCUGGUUCUCCAGUUGGGGUUUUCCUAUGGGUUAAGGGAACCUAGAAGGGGCUGAUGCUGAGGAAAGGGCUCAGACAGGACUCCCCUUUGCCCCUGCUCGCCUGCUGAGGGCAGUGGUAUCACUGCAUCAAUUUCUGUGCCUCACUUCAGUAACUAGGGAGCUCCUUGAGGGUGGGGACCAUGGCCUUUUCUUUUCUAUUCUCCGCCCACCCCCUUAUCUGGCCACCCCACCGCAUAUGGAGUUCCUGGGCCAGGGAUCAGAUCUGAGCUACAGCCGGGAUCCUUAACCCACUGUGCCAGCCGGGAGUCAAACCUGUGUCCCAGCGCUCCAGAAAUCCUGCUGAUCCUAUUAUGCCACAGCAGAAGCGCCUCUUUUCUUUACCCCUGUGCCCAACCUGGCACAAGGUAAUGACCCAUGAUGUGCUCAGUGGGUUGUAGAAGUGCCCCUGAUCCCUGAGACCCAGGGAGGAAUCAGCCUGCUCUAGGCUCCUAGAAAUCUUUACCUCUCCACACUGGGCUUGGCCAGGGAGAGACAGAGCCUGCUGAGUUAGCUGGAAGGAGGCAGAGGGGAUGAUGAGGUAGCCGCAGCCCCAAAGUGCCCACUGGGGAAUUGUCCCUUUGCAUCUAUGCUGUGUGUUCUCUGCAAGAUUCAUGAACCUGGGGCAGGUAAAUUUCCAGGUGUUUGCAGUGAGAAGGUCCAGGGGUUUUCUAGGCACCCAGUGGCAGGUGUGAGUCGAUGACUCCACUUGGGGCCUCCCUGGGGGCAGCUAGCCAGGCUCAGGGCAGGAAGUGUCUGAUUCUGGGUCACUUGGCUGUUCUUGUUGCUGCUGAGAUUGUUCCUAUAGCCAAGAUCUUUGAUCUGGAAAGGAUAGGAGAAGAGCAUCCAGUUCAGCUCCUGACCUUCUGGCAAGAAGAGGGGUAUUAAUAUUCUCAGGUCCAUUUCAUGGGCAGGUAGCUGAGGCCCAGAAUGAUGGACCCACCUUAUAACUUAUAAGUCCUUGAAUGUGGCUCCUUCUGAUCGUUUCUUUUGGUCCUGACCAUGACUCGCUGUGCAUGGUUGGGGAGAGAUCGUGCUUCACUGACAAGGUGCAUUUUCUGUGGGGCGAGGCCAUCCUUGUCACUCGAGGCUUGAGAGGGCCAGCAAGGAUGUCCUUGCUCUAUAUUUGGGGCCUCAUGCAGAGAGGGUGGUAGGAAGACAGGGCGGCCUCUUGAACUUUGGGGUUCCUCUGAGUUGAGACCUUGCCUGGCUGGCCCCAAGAGGCUGUUGGUGGCUUGGGAAGCAAAGUAGGGAUGCCUGGCCUAGCCAGAGCUCCCGAGUUUCCCUCCACCAGCUCCACAUCACAGAAAUGCCUGGACUUCCUGGUCGUAAGAGGGGAGUUUUGGGAGUUCUGUCGUGGCUCAGUGAAAACGAAUCUGACUAGCAUCCAUGAGGAUGCAGGUUUCAUCUCUGGCCUUGCUCAGUGGAUUAAGGAUCCAGCAUUGCCAUGAGCUGUGGUGUAGGUCACAGAUGAGUCUUGGAUCCCACAUUGCUGUGGCUGUGGGGUAGGCUGGCAGCCGCAGCUCUGAUUCAACCCCUAGCCUGGGAACCUCGAAUUGCCAUGGGUGCGGCCCUAAAAAGACCAAAAAAAAAAAAAAAAAAAAAAAAAAA